rnacentral:rRNA from 1 species
AGGUAGAUAGGGCAGGGGUGGAAGCAUGGCAACAUGCGGAGCUGACUGUCACUAAUAGGUCGAGGGCUUAACCAAG